rnacentral:rRNA from 1 species
UGGCUUCAAAAAUGAGGGCGGGCUGGACCUCUCGGGGUUACAGCCUUGCUGAAUUAUUCACCCUUGUCUUUUGCGUACUUCUUGUUUCCUUGGUGGGUUCGCCCACCACUAGGACAAACAUAAACCUUUUGUAAUUGCAAUCAGCGUCAGUAACAAAUUAAUAAUUACAACUUUCAACAACGGAUCUCUUGGUUCUGGCAUCGAUGAAGAACGCAGCGAAAUGCGAUAAGUAGUGUGAAUUGCAGAAUUCAGUGAAUCAUCGAAUCUUUGAACGCACAUUGCGCCCUUUGGUAUUCCAAAGGGCAUGCCUGUUCGAGCGUCAUUUGUACCCUCAAGCUUUGCUUGGUGUUGGGCGUCUUGUCUCUAGCUUUGCUGGAGACUCGCCUUAAAGUAAUUGGCAGCCGGCCUACUGGUUUCGGAGCGCAGCACAAGUCGCACUCUCUAUCAGCAAAGGUCUAGCAUCCAUUAAGCCUUUUUUCAACUUUUGACCUCGGAUCAGGUAGGGAUACCCGCUGAACUUAAGCAUAUCAAUAAGCGGAGGAA